rnacentral:rRNA from 1 species
CCUACGGGAGGCAGCAGUGGGGAAUCUUGCGCAAUGGGCGAAAGCCUGACGCAGCGACGCCGCGUGAGUGAUGAAGGCCUUCGGGUUGUAAAGCUCUGUGAGGCGAGUGGCGGUACCCCUUUAGCAAGCACCGGCUAACUCUGUGCCAGCAGCCGCGGUAAGACAGAGGGUGCAAACGUUGUUCGGAAUUACUGGGCGUAAAGCGCGUGUAGGCUGCUCUGUAGGUCGGAUGUGAAAGCCCUGGGCUCAACCUAGGAAGUGCAUUCGAAACCACAAAGCUUGAGUCCUGGAGAGGAAGGCGGAAUUCUCGGUGUAGAGGUGAAAUUCGUAGAUAUCGAGAGGAACACCGGUGGCGAAGGCGGCCUUCUGGCAUGACUGACGCUGAGACGCGAAAGCGUGGGGAGCAAACAGGAUUAGAUACCCUUGUAGUC